rnacentral:lncRNA from 1 species
CUUCAGACAGAUGAGCUCCAAGAGUCCCAGCGUAUGUUUCUGGACCUCCAAGGCCAAGACUACAGCCAGUUCAUGGCGCUGUCAGCCUGAGGGGGCCUGUGGGGGCUGCCAGGCAGACGCCCUCUCUCUCGUCACCCUUCCUGUCUGUCUUCAGAACCAAGGACAAUGGUUGGCUAUAUAAAAUGCCAGGAAAUAAGUGAAAGUCCAAGAUGGUAAGAAAACUUUCCAGAAGGCUAAAAGGCACAAACAAUGUGAAAUGGCAAUAGAGAGGAAGACUUCUCUAACUGAAAUAAGUCAUCAGCCAGAAACUGUCAAGAACCUUGUAACAAACCAUACCGACGGAGCUGCUCAGCGAGAACUGUGAGCUGCUUUGAAGAGAGUCUGGCAGAGCUCUGCCUCUGCUUGAACCUGGUGCUCAGACGGCCUGUUGGGAGAUGGAUCCCCACCAGGUCCAACCCACCUGCUCAACAUGAGUUGCAAAUUAAAACACAUCUCUCUCUCUUUUUUUUUAAUUUUAAUUUUUGUUUUUAUAGCAGUAACAUUGGAUUAUAACAUUAUAUAGCUUUCAGAUGUACAUCAUAACAUAUUUCAAAUUCUACGUAGAUUACAUCAUGUUCACCACCCAAAGACUAAUUAUAAUCCAUCACCACACAUGUGCACCUAAUCACCCCUUUUGCUCUCCUCGCCCUUCCCCUCUGGUAACCACCAAUCCAAUCUCCGUUGCUAUGUGUUUAUUUGUCAUCGUUUCUAUCUUCUACUUAUGAAUAAGAUCAUAUGGUAUUUGACUUUCUCCCUCUGACUUAUUUCACUUAGCAUAAUAUCCUCAAGGUCCAUCCAUGUUGUCACAAAUGGCUGGAUUUCAUCCUUUCUUAUGGCUGACUAGUAUUCUGUUACAUAUAUAUACCACAUCUUCUUUAUCCAUUUGUCCCUUGAUGGGCACCUAGGUUGCUUCCAAGUCUUGGCUAUUGUGAAUAAUGCUGCGACGAACAUAGGGGUGUAUACAUCUUUAUGCAUUUGUGUAAAACACAUCUCUUACAGAAUCCAUUUCUAAUGGAUAUUAAAGGGAGAUUCCCCCAUGUUUGUUUUUAUUAACAGAUACCUCAUCUUUUUUUUUUUCUGUCUUAUUCUCCUAAUUCCACGAAUAAAAGAGUAAGUGUAUUUAUUCAUUCAUUUAAAAAAAAGUGAAUACCUACUCUAUGCUAGGUAUUUUGCUGAGUGUUGUGGAAAAAAGAUGACAAAGACAUUGGCUCUAUCCUAGCAAGGCUCACAGUGUAGCCAGGAAGAUAAUUUAUAAAAAGUAUCUUUUCAUAAAGAUAAGUGCUGUAACACACCCUUGAACCCUUUCCUAUUUCAAGGCAGCAGGCUUCUCAACUGUGUGCAAAUAGCAACAUCGUUCAUCACGUCCUUUGUCUGGAGCACCCCUUCUAUUAACUUGCUGCCAACCCAUCAGAUAAUAGCAGUAAUUAUGGUGUGAGGCUGUCUUUUUGUUUUUGUUUUUUCUGGUUCAUUAAGCUGGAAAUGUUUUGUUUCUCUUUCAUAUCUCAACUGGGUUUUGUUUCCUGUCUAAUUAUCCAUGUUGGUAUUUUAAAGUGAGCAGGAGAAUAGAAUUUAUUUAUUUUGUUUACAGUUGUGUCAUAAAGGGUAAUUUAUUUUCUUCUAGUUGAAGGAAACGAGAGACAGGGAGUCAAGCAACCCAACGGUUGUCUGUCUAGGUUUGCCAAAACUAAAUAUGACUUUGAACGAAAAUCUUAUUGAAACAAGCUGGACCAGGUAAUUUCUAAGGGUCCUCCGACUUUGAUAAUCUAUUAUUUAUACAUGAAAUUAUAUAUUAGGUGGGUUAACAUUAAAAAUCAAUUAUCAGGGGCCGGCCCCGUGGCUGAGUGGUUGAGUUUGCGCACUCUGCUGCAGGUGGCCCAGGGUUUUGUCGGUUCGAAUCCUGGGCGCGGACAUGGCACCGCUCAUCGAGCCACGCUGGGGCGGCGUCCCACAUACCACAACUAGACAGACCCACAACUAAGAAUACACAACUAUGUACCUGGGGGCUUUGGGAAGAAAAAUGAAAAAAGUAAAAUCUUUAAAAAAAAAAAUCAGUUAUCAGCAACUUAAAAGGAAAAUCUUAAUACAGUGAUGGAAUAUAGCCUGAUAUUUAUAUAGAACAAUUCAUCUGAAACAGUGGAGAAAUAUGUUCCAUACUGUCACACAUUGUUUUCAUUAAUACAACUCACAUAAGUCACCUGACAUCCAACAAGUGUUGGCAAUAGCAAAUAUUUGGUAGAUGUUCAAAGUUUGCCACAUGUUUUCACACAUAAUCCUCACAACAGAUGGGUAAACUGAGGCUUGGACAGUGUAAGGUCUUUCGCCAAAGAUGCGCAGAUAGUAAAGGGUAGCCUCGGAGAUCAGGAUUCUCAUUUACAUCUUCUUCCUCAGAAUUCACUGCUUUUUAUGUUUCAACGUGGCUGCUUCCCAAAGUGCUUCACAUAUUCAAGGAAAUUCUCAGGAGAAUGUUGCUUCAAACCACAUGCUGGAGGGGUUGACCCUAUUGCGUUUGUGUUGAGGCUGGUCUAGGAAGGGGGGUGGCUCAUUCAGACCUUCCUGGCCUGUGGCCCUCUGAUGGUUUGGGGGCAGUUGAAGGCCGACCUGAAGUUGGGAUCUACUGGUUCAGAUCUCUUCUCCAGGAGGCUGAC